CCCUUAGAUGUUCUGGCCCGCACGCGCGCUACACUGAUGCAUUCAACGAGCCUAUCCUUGACCGACAGGUCCGGGUAAUCUUUGAAUCUGCAUCGUGACGGGGAUAGAUUAUUGCAAUUAUUAAUCUUCAACGAGGAAUGCCUAGUAGGCGCAAGUCAUCAGCUUGCGUCGAUUACGUCCCUGCCCUUUGUACACACCGCCCGUCGCUCCUACCGAUUGGGUGUGCUGGUGAAAUGUUCGGAUCGGCCGUUUGUCGCGGUUUCCGCGUCAUGUGGCUGAGAAGUUCAUUAAACCCUCCCACCUAGAGGAAGGAGAAGUCGUAACA
rnacentral:rRNA from 1 species